rnacentral:rRNA from 1 species
AUAUGCUUGUCUCAAAGAUUAAGCCAUGCAUGUCUAAGUUCACACUGUCUCACGGUGAAACCGCGAAUGGCUCAUUAAAUCAGUCGAGGUUCCUUAGAUGACACGAUCCUACUUGGAUAACUGUGGCAAUUCUAGAGCUAAUACAUGCCUAUGAAGCUCCGACCCUCGUGGAAAGAGCGCUUUUAUUAGUUCAAAACCAAUCGCCGGUCGUCUUCGGGCGGCCGGUGUCCCCAUUGGUGACUCUGGAUAACUUUGUGCUGAUCGCAUGGCCUUCGCGCCGGCGACGCAUCUUUCAAAUGUCUGCCCUAUCAAAUGUCGAUGGUACGUGAUAUGCCUACCAUGUUUGUAACGGGUAACGGGGAAUCAGGGUUCGAUUCCGGAGAGGGAGCAUGAGAAACGGCUACCACAUCCAAGGAAGGCAGCAGGCGCGCAACUUACCCACUCCCGGCACGGGGAGGUAGUGACGAAAAAUAACAAUACGGGACUCUCUACGAGGCUCCGUAAUUGGAAUGAGUACACUUUAAACCCUUUAACGAGUAUCUAUUGGAGGGCAAGUCUGGUGCCAGCAGCCGCGGUAAUUCCAGCUCCAAUAGCGUAUAUUAAAGUUGUUGCAGUUAAAAAGCUCGUAGUUGGAUCUCAGGUGCAGGCGGACGGUCCGGCUCGCGCCGGUUCACUGUCCGUAUUUCCUGCCCUACUGGUCUGCCGGCUCUCUCCCGUGGGUGCUCUUUGCUGAGCGUCCCGGGUGGCCGGCGCGUUUACUUUGAAAAAAUUAGAGUGUUCAAAGCAGGCCUCGGCUGCCUGAAUAAUGGUGCAUGGAAUAAUGGAAUAGGACCUCGGUUCUAUUUUGUUGGUUUUCGGAACUGGAGGUAAUGAUUAAAAGGGACAAACGGGGGCAUUCGUAUUGCGGCGUUAGAGGUGAAAUUCUUGGAUCGCCGCAAGACGAGCUACUGCGAAAGCAUUUGUCAAGAAUGUUUUCAUUAAUCAAGAACGAAAG